rnacentral:lncRNA from 1 species
UUGUCUAACUAUCUUUUUUUUUUAAUCCUCACUCCCACACUGGAGAACCUAUUGACUGACUGAGUGGGCUUGGUCAGGUGUAGAUGGAAGAAAAGUGAGCCAAGACUGAGAUCAAGUAUAAUUCAGUACAACCACCACUCUGCAACAAGAACCAGAAUUUCCACCUCGAGCUCAGUGGUCUCCCAACUGAUUCUUGUAGUGACAGGAAUCUCACUCAGUUCUGAGAUAAUACUGUUUCAAUUUCUUCCACGUAUUGGGACUUAAAUUCUACUUCCUUCAUCUUCUGAUAUCAAAUACCUCAUAUCCUGUAGCCAUAAAAGAUGCCCCCCAUAAUGCUUUGAUGUGGAUAACAAAUUAAAUAACCCAAUCUAUUUAUAAGUAUCAGCUAUACAUAAAUACAUUUAACGUGUUUUGUCUUCGUUUAUACAGCACACCUGAGGUUUAAUACCAAAUUCAGAAGCAACGUGUGAGUCGGUCUCCCUCAGAAUAUUAGCUGCAUUUUAUACACGGGCUCAACCCUGGGCAGUUUGGACAAGAACAUCUUUAACAGACAGUCAGCCAAAUCUCAGAGCCAAGAAACCCAGGCUCG